rnacentral:rRNA from 1 species
UACGUAGGGGGCAAGCGUUGUCCGGAUUUAUUGGGCGUAAAGCGCGUGUAGGCGGCCAGGUAGGUCCGCUGUGAAAACUCGAGGCUCAACCUCGAGACGUCGGCGGAAACCCUCUGGCUAGAGUCCGGAAGAGGAGAAUGGAAUUCCUGGUGUAGCGGUGAAAUGCGCAGAUAUCAGGAAGAACACCCGUGGCGAAGGCGGUUCUCUGGGACGGUACUGACGCUGAGACGCGAAAGCGUGGGGAGCGAACAGG